GAUUAACGCUGGCGGCGUGCCUAACACAUGCAAGUCGAGCGGCAGCGCGUUUUACACUGAAUUCUGGAAGCUUCUAGUUGAAAGAGAAGAUUUAUUCAAGAAUUUUGUGUAAAAUGUCGGCGAGCGGCGGACGGCUGAGUAACGCGUGGGAACGUACCCCAAAGUGAGGGAUAACGCAUCGAAAGGUGUGCUAAUACCGCAUAUGGUCUUCGGAUUAAAGCCUUCGGGCGCUUUGGGAACGGCCUGCGUAAGAUUAGAUAGUUGGUGGGGUAAUGGCCUACCAAGUCGACGAUCUUUAACUGGUUUGAGAGGAUGAUCAGUCAGACUGGAACUGAGACACGGUCCAGACUCCUACGGGAGGCAGCAGUGAGGAAUCUUCCACAAUAGGCGAAAGCCUGAUGGAGCAACGCCGCGUGCAGGAUGAAGGCCUUCGGGUUGUAAACUGCUUUUAUAAGUGAGGAUUAUGACAGUAACUUAUGAAUAAGGAUCGGCUAACUACGUG
rnacentral:rRNA from 1 species